rnacentral:rRNA from 1 species
GACGAACGCUGGCGGCGUGCUUAACACAUGCAAGUCGAACGGAAAGGCCCUGCUUUUGUGGGGUGCUCGAGUGGCGAACGGGUGAGUAACACGUGAGUAACCUGCCCUUGACUUUGGGAUAACUUCAGGAAACUGGGGCUAAUAUCGGAUAGGAGCUCCUGCUGCAUGGUGGGGGUUGGAAAGUUUCGGCGGUUGGGGAUGGACUCGCGGCUUAUCAGCUUGUUGGUGGGGUAGUGGCUUACCAAGGCUUUGACGGGUAGCCAGCCUGGGAGGGUGACCGGCCACAUUGGGACUGAGAUACGGCCCAGACGCCUACGGGAGGCAGAGGUGGGGAAUAUUGCACAAUGGGCGGAAGCAGGAUGCAGCAACGCCGGGUGCGGGAUGACGGCCGUCGGGUUGUAAACCGCGUUCGCCUGUGACGAAGCGUGAGUGACGGUAAUUGGUAAAGAAGCACCGGCUAACUACGUG